rnacentral:rRNA from 1 species
AGCGAACAGACGAGGAGCUGCUCCUCUGACGUUAGCGGCGGACGGGUGAGUAACACGUGGAUAACCUACCUAUAAGACUGGGAUAACUUCGGGAAACCGGAGCUAAUACCGGAUAAUAUAUUGAACCGCAUGGUUCAAUAGUGAAAGACGGUUUUGCUGUCACUUAUAGAUGGAUCCGCGCCGCAUUAGCUAGUUGGUAAGGUAACGGCUUACCAAGGCAACGAUGCGUAGCCGACCUGAGAGGGUGAUCGGCCACACUGGAACUGAGACACGGUCCAGACUCCUACGGGAGGCAGCAGUAGGGAAUCUUCCGCAAUGGGCGAAAGCCUGACGGAGCAACGCCGCGUGAGUGAUGAAGGUCUUCGGAUCGUAAAACUCUGUUAUUAGGGAAGAACAAAUGUGUAAGUAACUAUGCACGUCUUGACGGUACCUAAUCAGAAAGCCACGGCUAACUACGUGCCAGCAGCCGCGGUAAUACGUAGGUGGCAAGCGUUAUCCGGAAUUAUUGGGCGUAAAGCGCGCGUAGGCGGUUUUUUAAGUCUGAUGUGAAAGCCCACGGCUCAACCGUGGAGGGUCAUUGGAAACUGGAAAACUUGAGUGCAGAAGAGGAAAGUGGAAUUCAUGUGUAGCGGUGAAAUGCGCAGAGAUAUGGAGGAACACCAGUGGCGAAGGCGACUUUCUGGUCUGUA